AGGAUGAACGCUGGCGGCGUGCUUAACACAUGCAAGUCGAACGGUGAAGUGAGGAGCUUGCUCUUUGCGGAUCAGUGGCGAACGGGUGAGUAACACGUGAGUAACCUGCCCUUGACUCGUGGGAUAAGCGUUGGAAACGACGUCUAAUACCGGAUACGACCUCCGAAGGCAUCUUCUGGAGGUGGAAAGAAUUUCGGCAAGGAUGGACUCGCGGCCUAUCAGCUAGUUGGUGAGGUAAUGGCCCACCAAGGCGACGACGGGGUA
rnacentral:rRNA from 1 species